rnacentral:rRNA from 1 species
UUGUUGCGGUUAAAAGCUCGUAGUUGGAUUUCUGUUGAAGUCAGCCGGUGCACACCUCGUGUGUUAUUUGGCCUGGCUUUGGCAUCCUCUGGGGGAACGUUUCUCCACUUAAUUGGACAGGGCGAGAUUCCAGACUUUUACUUUGAGGAAAUUAGAGUGUUCACGGCAGGCAAGUGCUUUCAAUACAUUAGCAUGGAAUAAUAAUAUAGGACCUUCGUUCUAUUUUGUUGGUUUCUAGAACUUAGGUAAUGAUUAAUAGGGACAAUUGGGGGCAUUCGUAUUAACGCGUCAGAGGUGGAAUUCUUGGAUUGCGUUACGACGAACUACUGCGAAAGCAUUUGCCAAAGAUGUUUUCAUUGAUCAAGAACGAAAGUAUGGGGAUCGAAGACGCUUAGAUACCGUCUUUUUUUAUACCAUAAACUAUGCCAACUAGGGAUGUUACGGGUACUCUUUUAUGGCUCGUUGCGCACCUUAUGAGAAAUCAAAGUUUUUGGGUUCCGGGGGGAGGAUUGUCGCAAGGCCGAAACUUUUUAGGAAUUGACGGAAGGGCACCACCAGGAGUGGAGCCUGCGGCUUAAUUUGACUCAACACGGGAAAACUCACCCAGGUCCAGACAUAGUGAGGAUUGACAGAUUG